AGAGUUUGAUCAUGGCUCAGAAGAACGCUGGCGGCAGGCUUAACACAUGCAAGUCGAGCGCCCCGGCAAGGGGAGCGGCAGACGGGUGAGUAACGCGUGGGAACGUGCCCUUUGGUUCGGAACAACUCCGGGAAACUGGAGCUAAUACCGGAUAAGCCCUUCGGGGGAAAGAUUUAUCGCCAAAGGAUCGGCCCGCGUCUGAUUAGCUAGUUGGUGAGGUAAUGGCUCACCAAGGCGACGAUCAGUAGCUGGUCUGAGAGGAUGAUCAGCCACACUGGGACUGAGACACGGCCCAGACUCCUACGGGAGGCAGCAGUGGGGAAUAUUGGACAAUGGGCGCAAGCCUGAUCCAGCCAUGCCGCGUGAGUGAUGAAGGCCUUAGGGUUGUAAAGCUCUUUUGUCCGGGAAGAUAAUGACUGUACCGGAAGAAUAAGCCCCGGCUAACUUCGUG
rnacentral:rRNA from 1 species